CCCUUCGGGGUGUUUCAAUAGAGAACGGGUGAGUAACACGUGGGCAAUCUGCCCUUCACUCUGGGACAAGCCCUGGAAACGGGGUCUAAUACCGGAUACGACACACGACCGCAUGGUCUGUGUGUGGAAAGCUCCGGCGGUGAAGGAUGAGCCCGCGGCCUAUCAGCUUGUUGGUGGGGUGAUGGCCUACCAAGGCGACGACGGGUAGCCGGCCUGAGAGGGCGACCGGCCACACUGGGACUGAGACACGGCCCAGACUCCUACGGGAGGCAGCAGUGGGGAAUAUUGCACAAUGGGCGAAAGCCUGAUGCAGCGACGCCGCGUGAGGGAUGACGGCCUUCGGGUUGUAAACCUCUUUCAGCAGGGAAGAAGCGAAAGUGACGGUACCUGCAGAAGAAGCGCCGGCUAACUACGUGCCAGCAGCCGCGGUAAUACGUAGGGCGCAAGCGUUGUCCGGAAUUAUUGGGCGUAAAGAGCUCGUAGGCGGCUUGUCACGUCGGAUGUGAAAGCCCGGGGCUUAACCCCGGGUCUGCAUUCGAUACGGGCAG
rnacentral:rRNA from 1 species